rnacentral:rRNA from 1 species
CCUACGGGCGGCAGCAGUAGGGAAUAUUGCUCAAUGGGGGAAACCCUGAAGCAGCAACGCCGCGUGGAGGAUGAAGGUUUUAGGAUUGUAAACUCCUUUUGUUAGAGAAGAUUAUGACGGUACCUAACGAAUAAGCACCGGCUAACUACGUGCCAGCAGCCGCGGGAAUACGGAGGGAGCAAGCGUUAUCCGGAAUCACUGGGCGUAAAGGGUGCGUAGGCGGGAUAAUAAGUCAGAUGUGAAAUCCUGGAGCUUAACUCCAGAACUGCCGUUGAAACUGUUACUCUGGAGUGUGGGAGAGGUAGGUGGAAUUCUUGGUGUAGGGGUAAAAUGCGUAGAGAUCAAGAGGAAUACUCAUUGCGAAGGCGGCCUGCUGGAAGAUUACUGACGCUGAGGCACGAAAGCGUGGGGAGCAAACAGGAUUAGAUACCCCUGUAGUC